rnacentral:rRNA from 1 species
AUGAACGCUAGCGGGAGGCCUAACACAUGCAAGCCGAGCGGUAGAGUCUCUUCGGAGACUUGAGAGCGGCGCACGGGUGCGGAACACGUGUGCAACCUGCCUUUAUCUGGGGGAUAGCCUUUCGAAGGGAAGAUUAAUACCCCAUAAUAUACUGGAUGGCAUCAUCUGGUAUUGAAAACUCCGGUGGAUAGAGAUGGGCACGCGCAAGAUUAGAUAGUUGGUGAGGUAACGGCUCACCAAGUCAGCGAUCUUUAGGGGGCCUGAGAGGGUGAUCCCCCACACUGGUACUGAGACACGGACCAGACUCCUACGGGAGGCAGCAGUGAGGAAUAUUGAACAAUGGGUGAGAGCCUGAUCCAGCCAUCCCGCGUGAAGGACGACGGCCCUAUGGGUUGUAAACUUCUUUUGUAUAGGGAUAAACCUAGAUACGUGUAUCUAGCUGAAGGUACUAUACGAAUAAGCACCGGCUAACUCCGUG